rnacentral:rRNA from 1 species
CCGGAUUUAUUGGGUUUAAAGGGUGCGUAGGCGGCAAGGUAAGUCAGCGGUGAAAGACCAGGGCUCAACUCUGGAAGUGCCGUUGAUACUGUCUGGCUAGAAUGAUUCCGCCGUGGGAGGAAUGAGUAGUGUAGCGGUGAAAUGCAUAGAUAUUACUCAGAACACCGAUUGCGAAGGCAUCUCACGAGGGGUUCAUUGACGCUGAGGCACGAAAGCGUGGGGAUCGAACAGGAUUAGAUACCCUGGUAGUCCACGCAGUAAACGAUGAUGGCUAACUGUCGGGCCUUAUGGGUUCGGCGGCCAAGCGAAAGCGAUAAGCCAUCCACCUGGGGAGUACGACCGCAAGGUUGAAACUCAAAGGAAUUGACGGGGGCCCGCACAAGCGGAGGAACAUGUGGUUUAAUUCGAUGAUACGCGAGGAACCUUACCCAGGCUCGAACGGCAUCUGAAUUGUCCAGAGAUGGACAAGUCUUCGGACAGAUGUCGAGGUGCUGCAUGGUUGUCGUCAGCUCGUGCCGUGAGGUGUCGGCUUAAGUGCCAUAACGAGCGCAACCCUUGCCGUCAGUUGCCAUCAGGUGAAGCUGGGGACUCUGGCGGGACUGCCACCGCAAGGUGUGAGGAAGGGGGGGAUGACGUCAAAUCAGCACGGCCCUUACGUCUGGGGCGACACACGUGUUACAAUGGCGGCUACAGAGGGAAGCCACCCCGCGAGGGGGCGCGGAUCUGAAAAGGCCG